CAGAAGUGUCAGGUUUUAUAGAGCUGAUCUGUUGCUGUCAGCUGCAGAAGAAGAAAAACUCCCAUCAGAUCAUCUUCAGCACCAACAUGUUCUCUCUAGCUCUGCUGCUGCUGCUGGCUGCUGGAUCCUGUGUGAAGUGUGAACAGCUGACACAGCCAGCCUCUGUGACUGUGCAGCCAGGUCAUCGUCUGACCAUCAGCUGUCAGGUAUCUUAUGAUCUGGACAGCUACUACACAGCUUGGAUCAGACAGCCUGCAGGGAAAGGACUGGAGUGGAUUGGGAUGAAAUAUACUGGAGACUCAGCGUACAAAGACUCACUAAAGAACAAGUUCAGUAUUGACUUAGACACUUCCAGUAAAACGGUGACUCUGAAUGGACAGAAUAUGCAGCCUGAAGACUCUGCUGUGUAUUACUGUGUCAGAUACCACAGUGAUACAAACAAGCAGCACAGCUGUACAAAAACCCGUCAGGGCCUUAACAGGAUAUAUCAAGCCACAGGAGCUGUAUGA